AUUGAACGCUGGCGGCAUGCUUUACACAUGCAAGUCGAACGGUAACAGGCCGCAAGGUGCUGACGAGUGGCGAACGGGUGAGUAAUGCAUCGGAACGUGCCCAGUCGUGGGGGAUAACGCAGCGAAAGCUGUGCUAAUACCGCAUACGAUCUGUGGAUGAAAGCGGGGGACCGAAAGGCCUCGCGCGAUUGGAGCGGCCGAUGUCAGAUUAGGUAGCUGGUGGGGUAAAGGCUCACCAAGCCAACGAUCUGUAGCUGGUCUGAGAGGACGACCAGCAAAACUGGGACUGAGACACGGCCCAGACUCCUACGGGAGGCAGCAGUGGGGAAUUUUGGACAAUGGGCGCAAGCCUGAUCCAGCAAUGCCGCGUGCAGGAAGAAGGCCUUCGGGUUGUAAACUGCUUUUGUACGGAGCGAAAAGGCUCUCUCUAAUACAGGGGGCUCAUGACGGUACCGUAAGAAUAAGCACCGGCUAACUACGUGCCAGCCGCCGCCGUAAAAC
rnacentral:rRNA from 1 species